GAUGAACGCUGGCGGCGUGCCUAAUACAUGCAAGUCGAGCGAACGGACGAGGAGCUUGCUUCUCUGACGUUAGCGGCGGACGGGUGAGUAACACGUGGAUAACCUACCUAUAAGACUGGGAUAACUUCGGGAAACCGGAGCUAAUACCGGAUAAUAUUUUGAACCGCAUGGUUCAAUAGUGAAAGACGGUCUUGCUGUCACUUAUAGAUGGAUCCGCGCUGCAUUAGCUAGUUGGUAAGGUAACGGCUUACCAAGGCAACGAUGCGUAGCCGACCUGAGAGGGUGAUCGGCCACACUGGAACUGAGACACGGUCCAGACUCCUACGGGAGGCAGCAGUAGGGAAUCUUCCGCAAUGGGCGAAAGCCUGACGGAGCAACGCCGCGUGAGUGAUGAAGGUCUUCGGAUCGUAAAACUCUGUUAUUAGGGAAGAACAAAUGUGUAAGUAACUGUGCACAUCUUGACGGUACCUAAUCAGAAAGCCACGGCUAACUACGUG
rnacentral:rRNA from 1 species